rnacentral:rRNA from 1 species
AGAUUGAACGCUGGCGGAAUGCCUUACACAUGCAAGUCGAACGGCAGCACGGGAGCAAUCCUGGUGGCGAGUGGCGAACGGGUGAGUAAUACAUCGGAACGUGCCCAAUCGUGGGGGAUAACGUAGCGAAAGCUACGCUAAUACCGCAUACGAUCUACGGAUGAAAGCAGGGGAUCGCAAGACCUUGCGCGAAUGGAGCGGCCGAUGGCAGAUUAGGUAGUUGGUGGGGUAAAGGCUCACCAAGCCUUCGAUCUGUAGCUGGUCUGAGAGGACG